CCCCGAGACCUCCUCGUCAGGGCUGGCCUGGUGCCUAGGUGCCAGCCCAGGGCGACGACGGGCAGCAGUGAGGGGCGGGAGGCCCGGCGUGUUCCCGUAUUUAUUUAUUUAUUUGAGGACCCAGCGUUUACACAUACCUGGCUCUGAUUACUCCCCCAGGGCCGGGAGGAGGGGGACGCUGCAGCCUGGGCCUUUGAUGUGCCAGAGGAGAGAUGGGGAGAUGGUGCUGGGAGUCCUCGUCCCCGCCGCCGCUGCGGGGUGUGUGCGCGUGGGGGGAGCCCUGUGAUGUCACCCCAGGAGGCCGAGGAUGGCAGGCGCCACGGCCAGGCCCAGGAAGAGAGAGGGAGACACAGAAUCCGAAGCAGGCUCCAGGCUCUGAGCGGUCAGCACAGAGCCCGACGCGGGGCUCGAACUCACGAACCGUAAGAUCAUGACCUGAGCUGAAGUCGGAAGCUCAACCGACUGAGCCACCCGAGCGCCCCAUCGCCCUGUUUUCUGUUCAUCUGAACCCCAUUUGCAUAAACCUGUAUGGAGCAUCUAGUGUUCUCUCUGAUUCUCUGUUGAGCUGCUUUGCUUGGAUUUCUGGGAAAUCGGGUGCAAUGGACAGAGACCAUGUCCUGUCUCUGUGACCCCAUCACCCGGCACAGGGCCUGGGACAGACGCUGUGCCCUGUAAACAUAAUGGCGGAGAAGGGGAGUCGGUGGGCACCUGGAGAGAAGGGGGAGGCAGGAGGGGAGUGCCUGGGGGUGGCGGCUGAUUGGGGGUGGUGCGGCAUCAGGGAGGGAGGUGAGUCAAUGUCCGCAUCCAUAGAUUCAUCGAAAUGGUGAAGUGGGGUCCCAGAGGGGUGUGACGGCUGCUCAAGUUCAUACAGCUCGUUCUGUGGCAGGGUUCAGACCCAAGCCCUUGACUUCUGACUCCUGCGCUGCCAGGCUGAUGCUGGAGAGGUUGGGAGGUAGGAGCUGAGGGCGAAGGUGGGGGUGGGGGCGGGGGGAGGGGUGGGGAGGGGAGGGCU
rnacentral:lncRNA from 1 species